rnacentral:rRNA from 1 species
AUUGAACGCUGGCGGCAUGCCUUACACAUGCAAGUCGAACGGCAGCACGGGUGCUUACACCUGGUGGCGAGUGGCGAACGGGUGAGUAAUACAUCGGAACAUGUCCUGUAGUGGGGGAUAGCCCGGCGAAAGCCGGAUUAAUACCGCAUACGAUCUACGGAUGAAAGCGGGGGACCUUCGGGCCUCGCGCUAUAGGGUUGGCCGAUGGCUGAUUAGCUAGUUGGUGGGGUAAAGGCCUACCAAGGCGACGAUCAGUAGCUGGUCUGAGAGGACGACCAGCCACACUGGGACUGAGACACGGCCCAGACUCCUACGGGAGGCAGCAGUGGGGAAUUUUGGACAAAGGGCGAAAGCCUGAUCCAGCAAUGCCGCGUGUGUGAAGAAGGCCUUCGGGUUGUAAAGCACUUUUGUCCGGAAAGAAAUCCUUGGCCCUAAUACGGUCGGGGGAUGACGGUACCGGAAGAAUAAGCACCGGCUAACUACGUG